rnacentral:rRNA from 1 species
GACGAACGCUGGCGGCGUGCCUAAUACAUGCAAGUAGGACGCACAGUUUAUACCGUAGCUUGCUACACCAUAGACUGUGAGUUGCGAACGGGUGAGUAACGCGUAGGUAACCUGCCUAUUAGAGGGGGAUAACUAUUGGAAACGAUAGCUAAUACCGCAUAACAGUAUGUAACACAUGUUAGAUGCUUGAAAGAUGCAAUUGCAUCGCUAGUAGAUGGACCUGCGUUGUAUUAGCUAGUAGGUAGGGUAAAGGCCUACCUAGGCAACGAUACAUAGCCGACCUGAGAGGGUGAUCGGCCACACUGGGACUGAGACACGGCCCAGACUCCUACGGGAGGCAGCAGUAGGGAAUCUUCGGCAAUGGGGGGAACCCUGACCGAGCAACGCCGCGUGAGUGAAGAAGGUUUUCGGAUCGUAAAGCUCUGUUGUUAAGGAAGAACGAGUGUGAGAAUGGAAAGUUCAUACUGGC